GCGGCGUGAUUACAAACCGGACGUCUGAAGGUCAACCGACCGCAGAGUCGAUGUGGUCCUUGUCCCCCGUGGCUGAGUG
rnacentral:snoRNA from 1 species